rnacentral:ncRNA from 1 species
GAGCAACUUAGGAUUUUAGGCUCCGCCGCCCGGUCCAACCGCCGGGCGGCGACAAACCGGCCGGGGCUGGCGGUCCCGUGUGCGGUCAAAAUCUAUCCGCCGGAG